rnacentral:rRNA from 1 species
AGUGAACGCUGGCGGUAGGCCUAACACACGCAAGUCGAACGGCAGCACAGUAAGAGCUUGCUCUUACGGGUGGCGAGUGGCGGACGGGUGAGGAAUACAUCGGAAUCUACUUUUUCGUGGGGGAAAACGUAGGGAAACUUACGCUAAUACCGCAUACGACCUACGGGUGAAAGCAGGGGUUCUUCGGACCUUGCGCGACUGAAUGAGCCGAUGUCGGAUUAGCUAGUUGGCGGGGUAAAGGCCCACCAAGGCGACGAUCCGUAGCUGGUCUGAGAGGAUGAUCAGCCACACUGGAACUGAGACACGGUCCAGACUCCUACGGGAGGCAGCAGUGGGGAAUAUUGGACAAUGGGCGCAAGCCUGAUCCAGCCAUGCCGCGUGGGUGAAGAAGGCCUUCGGGUUGUAAAGCCCUUUUGUUGGGAAAGAAAAGCAGCAGGUUAAUCCCCCGCUGUUCUGACGGUACCCAAAGAAUAAGCACCGGCUAACUUCGUG